rnacentral:lncRNA from 1 species
CAUGGAUUUAGUGUAAUAAUGAACAACUUUUUAUGGCAUUUAUUAAUAUGGUUUAGUAAUUAAUAAAUUGUGUAAUUUAAAAAUAUAGCUAAUGUUGAUUUAUAAAACUUUUCGCUUACAGUAUAAAUGGUGCUUGAUCUUUGCAUAUUUCUCGUCUGAUGAGAUGACUUUUUACCUUUUAAGCAACAUUAUGAAUAGACAUAAGCAACACUUUGAAGUUAAAAAUGUUUUAAUUAUGGAUUUGUUUAGCACAAAUACACAGCUUUUCACUUCACUAGAUUUGUCAGUUGUAACACUGGCUCAGAGAUUUGAACUCUCAUUCUGAUGGCACCCAUUCACUGCAGAGGAUUCAUUAGUGAGCAAGGGUUCUCAUCUACUGCUUGGAUCGCCUGAAAGGUGAGCUUUUCAGCACAUUUUUUUUAUUUUUGGGUGAACUAUUCCUUUAGUUCUUUACUUAGAAUAGACCAUAGGGACUGUCCUGUGCACUUGACCAGCUUUAAGCACAUAUGAAGAACAACUUAACUGUAAUGGUGUUAGAUAUGUGUAUGCAUGCUUUCUUGUGUUUGAUUGGAGGUGAGUAGGAGGUGUGCUGAUGUUGACCCAGAAGUGAAGUGAUGCGUGGAGGACAGACAGCAGUGACAGCAGGAGAGAACAGGUUUCUCAACAGAUUACUAAGUUGGAGACUCAUGCCAGUGGAUGGUGGUACUGAUGAUGGUGGACCGCCUGGUCUGAGACUGAAGACUGAAGCGAAUGAAGCAGACCUAUGCCGUCUGUCUCCUAAUAAACAGGCACCAGAUCCUGUGUCCCGGCCAGAGAGGAGCCCUGCCACCCAAACUGCCAUCUCUCUCGCCCCUAGAGCCUAGCAGGGAGGCGAACGGCCACACGCCGUCUGACAGAAAGACAGAGAGAGCAAAGCCAGCGGGCCAUAUGUGUCUGGUUGUGAGAGGAACUCAAACCCCAGACUGUCCAACUCAGAAAUGCUGCAGCUGCCCAGCUCUUCUUCAUGGCAGAAUUAAUGAAGCGCUCGGCGUGGAGCAGGGUGAAAAAGUCACAACUAAAGUAAGACAAGAUUUCUUCAAGAAGACUGAUGUGUCUGGACUCUUCCUCUCAUGUGAGUGUAGAUUUAAAUGA